ensembl:lncRNA
GUUUGGGAGACACUGGUCUAGAGGUGGUAGGACUGAGUUUGGGAAACACUGGUCUAGACGUGGUAGGACUGAGUUUGGGAAACACUGGUCUAGACGUGGCAGGACUGAGUUUGGGAGACACUGGUCUAGAGGUGGUAGGACUGAGUUUGGGAAACACUGGUCUAGACGUGGUAGGACUGAGUCUGGGAGACCCUGGUCUAGACGUGGCAGGACUGAGUUUGGGAGACCCUGGUCUAGACGUGGUAGGACUGAGUCUGGGAGACCCUGG